GACUAGAGAUAGUCCUUUCUCUUCGGAGACCUCGGUGACAGGUGGUGCAUGGUUGUCGUCAGCUCGUGUCGUGAGAUGUUGGGUUAAGUCCCGCAACGAGCGCAACCCUUAUUGUUAGUUGCUACGCAAGAGCACUCUAGCGAGACUGCCGUUGACAAAACAGAGGAAGGUGGGGACGACGUCAAAUCAUCAUGCCCCUUAUGUCCUGGGCCACACACGUACUACAAUGGUGGUAAACAGAGGGAAGCAAGACCGCGAGGUGGAGCAAAUCCCUAAAAGCCAUCCCAGUUCGGAUCGCAGGCUGCAACCCGCCUGCGUGAAGUUGGAAUCGCUAGUAAUCGCGGAUCAGCAUGCCGCGGUGAAUACGUUCCCGGGCCUUGUACACACCGCCCGUCACACCAUGAGAGUCGGGAACACCCGAAGUCCGUAGCCUAACCGCAAGGGGGGCGCGGCCGAAGGUGGGUUCGAUAAUUGGGGUGAAGUCGUAACAAGGUAGCCGUAUCGGAA
rnacentral:rRNA from 1 species